rnacentral:lncRNA from 10 species
GUAGGUGGCGAACCGUGGGGCUGACCUGGAGGAAUCAGAGCCACGCUUAUCCGUGGGCCCCUGAGUGACCAGGCAAAGGCUGGGUGAUUUCCGGCAGGCUUUUGUGUUUUCGAUGCUGGGAAAGCAGGGGCUGGAGGAAGGACACUCAAGUCGAUCGGGAAGGACCCGUGGGCACCUAGGCAGAUCCGGGUUGGCGCUGGAGAGCAAGUCUGUGGGGGCGGGGGAGGGGAGUGCGCGCCGCAAACCCUGGGAAAACUCCAGGCUGCCCGUGGAUGACUAGACAAUGGUAUCCCUGAACAAAGAACAACAAUAAGGCCUUUGCAUUUAUAAAUCGUGCGCGGGCGGCUGCCUCCCGGAGGCCAGCACGAGGUGGCGCGCGGCGGUGGAGCGCGGCCGAGGGUCCCGCACCUCCCAGGUGUGGACUGCAAAAGGAUCCAUUCAGCUCAUGUGGUCCUCACAUCAGAACACAAUUGCACCCAGCACAGAGUGAACUCUCAUGCGGGUACUCUUUGAAGAUCAGAGAGGGGGCCAGGCCAAGUCCCUCAUGUCCAGAUGGCCACCAGCAGCUCCAGGCUCGGAUUCUCCCAUUUUGCAAACCCAGCAGAAGGAACUCUUGCUGACCAGUAGUUCCCAAGACUGAUUUUCUGUGGGGCUGGUGGAGAUGAAUGGCCAACCCUGAAUCAGUCACUGCACCAGGGGGAUGAUCCCUCUUUCUGCCUUGGAGCUGGCUUAUCAGAGGGGUCAGCCUAGGAUUUAUGAGAUACUCCCUCACACAACCUGAGAAGAAAUUAAGAAACAACUUUUACUUCAGAACUGAAAACUGUCUGGAAAACCAGAGAAGUGCUGAAUGUCACUGUAAAGAAACGAAAAACAGGAGGCGACGUGUGCUGGGCAGAUGGGACAUGGCUUUCUGUGUUUCCGUAGGUAAUUGCAACAGCAUUAAGAAAAUGUGAGAAAGAUAUUAGCAUGGCACAAAUGCCUGUUCAUCUCCGCUUUUAAAUGUCUCUGAGUUGAAUUAAACCACAGUGGUAAUGUAGAGUUUUUCAAAGUAUACAUAAAUGAUAUUUUAGUUUUGCUAGCUAUGAAUUUAAAUAUUUGAUUACUUUUUGAUAUGCCAUUUCUAAAUUACCUCUAAAAUUAAGACCAAAAUAAUAAAUACACAUAAUACUAAUGUUUCAGAAAUGAGCUCCACCAUUACUUACAGUGUGAUCAUACAAACUAACACCUUGUAAUAAUUAGUCACCUUUUGUCAAUAUUUAUUUGAAUAGCCAACAACAGCAUAGAGGAUGUGCAUUGACUGCUAAGCCUAGAAUGCUAGAAAAAUAAGGAAAGGCUGCGCUUCCUUUCCUCGGCGUGAUCUGUCCACCUGCUAUCUGUGGGGAACUUGGCUGCUGAGCGAAUCGCUCUGUUCUAUGUAUAGCUUUGUUGAUUUACAUAGUUCUCCAAAAGGCACACACCCAGGGUUUUGUUUCAAGUGAAUAAUGUUAACAGACAAACUGUCUAAUAAACCUGAAAUGUUCUCCCAGGGGAUGGAGAGAAAGCGAAGAUCCUUGGAUAAUUUCAGUGUUUUCCUUCUUGACCUUGGGUCCGUCUGUCUGAAAUUGACAUGAAGGUUGGAAUCAACCUCUUGGGUUCAGCUAAGGGAUGUGUGGAACGCUGACGGGAAUGAGAUACUCCUACCCCUAGGCUUUUAGGGAGCAGAUGUGUCUUCCUCUCAAGACAGUCUGUGUGGGGUAGAUGAGUUGGCUCUGGACAGCCCUAAAACAAAUCAUAGCUGGCCAGGUGCGAUGGCUCACGCCUGUAAUCCCAGCACUUUGGGAGGCCGAGGCGGCAGAUCACCUGAGGUCGGGAGUUUGAGACCAGCCUGACCAACAUGGAGAAACCCUGUCUCUACUGAAAAUACAAAAUUAGCUGGUUGUGGUGGCACGUGACUAUAAUCCCAGCUACUAGGGAG